GACGAACGCUGGCGGCGUGCCUAACACAUGCAAGUCGAACGGAGAUUGCAUUUAUGUAAUCUUAGUGGCGAACGGGUGAGUAACGCGUAGACAACCUACCGCUUAGAUGGGGACAACACUGGGAAACUAGUGCUAAUACCGAAUGUCGUAUUGAAGCUGCAUGGUUUUGAUACUAAGGAUGGCCUCUGUAUAUGCUAUCGCUAAGUGAUGGGUCUGCGUCUGAUUAGCAAGUUGGUGAGGUAAUGGCUCACCAAGGCGACGAGCAGUAGCCGGUCUGAGAGGAUGAACGGCCACACUGGGACUGAGACACGGCCCAGACUCCUACGGGAGGCAGCAGUGGGGAAUCUUCCGCAAUGGACGAAAGUCUGACGGAGCAACGCCGCGUGAGUGAAGAAGGUUUUCGGAUCGUAAAGCUCUGUUUUCAGGGACGAAUGUGCAGAUUGUAAAUAAUGAUUUGUAAUGACGGUACCUGAGUAGAAAGCCACGGCUAACUACGUGCCAGCAGCCGCGGUAA
rnacentral:rRNA from 1 species